UUGGAGGGCAAGUCUGGUGCCAGCAGCCGCGGUAAUUCCAGCUCCAAUAGCGUAUAUUAAAGUUGUUGCAGUUAAAAAGCUCGUAGUUGAAUUUCGGGAUCAAUAUAUCGGUCGUGCCUUGGUACGUACUGGUAUCAUUGGUUUCUCCUUUCUGACGAACCAUGAUGUCAUUAAUUUGGUGUUAUGGGAAGUUAGGACUGUUACUUUGAAAAAAUUAGAGUGUUUAAAGCAGGCUUUAGCUUGAAUACAUUAGCAUGGAAUAAUGAAAUAGGACGUUCGAACCUAUUUUGUUGGUUUCUAGGAUCAACGUAAUGAUUAAUAGGGAUAGUUGGGGGCAUUAGUAUUCAAUUGUCAGAGGUGAAAUUCUUGGAUUUAUUGAAGACUAACUACUGCGAAAGCAUUUGCCAAGGAUGUUUUCAUUAAUCAAGAACGAAAGUUAGGGGAUCGAAGACGAUCAGAUACCGUCGUAGUCUUAACCAUAAACUAUGCCGACUAGGGAACGGAUGAUGUUAAUUUUUUAAUGACUCAUUCGGCCGCCUUACGGGGAAAC
rnacentral:rRNA from 1 species